UACGUAGGGAGCAAGCGUUGUCCGGAAUCAUUGGGCGUAAAGCGCGCGUAGGUGGCCCGGUAAGUCCGCUCUGAAAGUCACAGGCUCAACCUGUGAAAGCGGGUGGAUACUGCCGGGCUAGAGUCCGGAAGAGGCGAGUGGAAUUCCUGGUGUAGCGGUGGAAUGCGCAGAUAUCAGGAGGAACACCACAGCGGAAGGCAGCUCGCUGGGACGGUACUGACGCUGAGGCGCGAAAGCGUGGGGAGCAAACAGG
rnacentral:rRNA from 1 species